UCGAGAAUUUUUCACAAUGGGCGCAAGCCUGAUGGAGCGACGCCGCGUGGGGGAUGAAGGGCUUCGGCUCGUAAACCCCUGUCAGUUGCGAACAAGGUGCAUAUGUAAAUAGCGUGUGCAUUGAUGGUAGCGACAGAGGAAGGGACGGCUAACUCUGUGCCAGCAGCCGCGGUGAUACAGAGGGCCCGAGCGUUGGUCGGAUUCACUGGGCGUAAAGGGUGCGUAGGCGGUUGGGAAAGUCUGAUGUGAAAGCCCCGGGCCUAACCCGGGAACGGCAUCGGAAACUACCCGGCUAGAGGGUUGGAGGGGGGAUUGGAAUUCCCGGUGUAGCAGUGAAAUGCGUAGAGAUCGGGAGGAACGCCAGUGGCGAAGGCGAAUCCCUGGACAACCCCUGACGCUGAGGCACGAAAGCUUGGGGAGCAAACAGG
rnacentral:rRNA from 2 species